rnacentral:rRNA from 1 species
AGCGAACGCUGGCGGCAGGCUUAACACAUGCAAGUCGAGCGGGCGUAGCAAUACGUCAGCGGCAGACGGGUGAGUAACGCGUGGGAACGUACCUUUUGGUUCGGAACAACACAGGGAAACUUGUGCUAAUACCGGAUAAGACCUUACGGGGAAAGAUUUACCGCCGAAAGAUCGGCCCGCGUCUGAUUAGCUAGUUGGUAGGGUAAUGGCCUACCAAGGCGACGAUCAGUAGCUGGUCUGAGAGGAUGAUCAGCCACAUUGGGACUGAGACACGGCCCAAACUCCUACGGGAGGCAGCAGUGGGGAAUAUUGGACAAUGGGGGCAACCCUGAUCCAGCCAUGCCGCGUGAGUGACGAAGGCCCUAGGGUUGUAAAGCUCUUUUGUGCGGGAAGAUAAUGACGGUACCGCAAGAAUAAGCCCCGGCUAACUUCGUGCCAGCAGCCGCGGUAAAAC